UGGGGAAUCUUGGACAAUGGGGGCAACCCUGAUCCAGCCAUGCCGCGUGAGUGAUGAAGGCCUUAGGGUCGUAAAGCUCUUUCGCCUGUGAAGAUAAUGACGGUAGCAGGUAAAGAAACCCCGGCUAACUCCGUGCCAGCAGCCGCGGUAAUACGGAGGGGGUUAGCGUUGUUCGGAAUUACUGGGCGUAAAGCGCACGUAGGCGGACCAGAAAGUUGGGGGUGAAAUCCCGGGGGCUCAACCCCGGAACUGCCUCCAAAACUAUUGGUCUAGAGUUCGAGAGAGGUGAGUGGAAUUCCAAGUGUAGAGGUGAAAUUCGUAGAUAUUUGGAGGAACACCAGUGGCGAAGGCGGCUCACUGGCUCGAUACUGACGCUGAGGUGCGAAAGUGUGGGGAGCAAAACAGGAUUAGAUACCCUGGUAGUCCACACCGUAAAACGAUGAAUGCCAGUCGUCGGGGUAGCAUGCUAUUCGGUGACACACCUAACGGAUUAAAGCAUUCCCGGCCUGGGGAGUACGGUCGCAAGA
rnacentral:rRNA from 1 species